rnacentral:rRNA from 1 species
AGGAUGAACGCUGGCGGCGUGCUUAACACAUGCAAGUCGAACGGUGAAAGAGGAGCUUGCUCCUCUGGAUCAGUGGCGAACGGGUGAGUAACACGUGAGAAAUCUGCCCUGGACUCGUGGGAUAAGCGUUGGAAACGACGUCUAAUACCGGAUACGAGCUUCAGCCGCAUGGCUAGGAGCUGGAAAGACUUCGGUCCAGGAUGAUCUCGCGGCCUAUCAGCUAGUGUGAGGUAACGCCCACAAGGCGACGACGGGUA